UACGGAGGAUGCAAGCGUUAUCCGGAAUGAUUGGGCGUAAAGCGUCCGCAGGUGGCUAUGUAAGUCUGCUGUUAAAGAGUGAGGCUCAACCUCAUAAGAGCAGUGGAAACUACAUGGCUAGAGUGCGUUCGGGGCAGAGGGAAUUCCUGGUGUAGCGGUGAAAUGCGUAGAUAUCAGGAAGAACAUCGGUGGCGAAGGCGCUCUGCUGGACCAUAACUGACACUCAGGGACGAAAGCUAGGGGAGCGAAUGGG
rnacentral:rRNA from 1 species